rnacentral:misc_RNA from 1 species
AUUUUUUCCCAGUCUUUAUGAAAUUUUGAAUUCUAUUAUUUAACAUUUAUAAUGAGACUGGGCUCUAGCCUUCGAUUCCCUUAUAUAUCACCGAAUAUGAGACAUGCUCAGUUUUGGACUAUGAACCGACUUUGAAGGCAUUGCUCGAUAAGGUCAUAUCAACCAUGUUCUCUCUUUUCUCGAUAAUACCAGUCAUUCUCAUUAGCCAAUCUGCAUCUAUUCCCUUGGAUGAAUUCACUCCAUUUGGUAAAGAGAACGGUGACAUUCUGAUACUCCGAGGAAACGAUGUGCUAAGCUCUCAGAAAAUCAACAUUUCGACUGUUUUUCCUUUCUUGGGCGAGAGUUUUACCUCCUUGUCUGUAACAAACUACGGAGUAAUAUAUUUCAAAGGAGGAUCUUACGUAAUUGGUCCAUUCUACGCACUUUAUGACACAACACAACGAGGUUGUAUAUGGUACAGACGAAUCAACACCGAACACUUAAUGAAAGAGGCAUCAACCGACUUAAGAAGGACUUUCACAGAAUUCCCGCGAUUCUCAGCAAUAUGGAUGUUUGUUGUUACAUGGGAGGAAGUACCAUUUUAUCAAAGUAAUGAUAAGAAUAUUACCAACACCUUUCAGUUGGUAUUGCUAACGGACGGACGUUAUUCCUUUGUUCGUUUUAACUACCAUAACGUCUCAAAGNCUCCAAUAAAGACAAGUGGACGCAAAAUUUUAGUAGGGAGUGGAUUCAUCGCUGGUAAUUAUUCCUACAGAACAUUUGUAAAUCAUUUUCGAAAUAUAAGCGUAUGGGAUCUCCCUUCAGAAACAAAUGUUGGCAAAAUAGGAAUGUGGAUGUUCAGGACAGACAACAUCACAAUACAAGAACCAAAAAGACGAAUCACGAAAGGUGAAAACAAAUUAAUAUCCUAUAUCAACCCAUUUAAGUCCAUGACAAAAAUUUUAAUUUUUUAAUUUUUUUUUAAAGUAAGGACUAACAGCAAUGUCACAAUUGUUUGUGCAAUCAAAAGUUCUUAUUCACUAUGGCCGCCAUGACAGUUUUCGUAAUGCAAAUUGGCUAUGCGGUCAUUCAGUUCAAAUUUGGAUAUUUACUACAGAUAUUUCAAUACCUUCAAGAACUGUCUUAUGCGAGAACAUAAGGCAUAGAGCUAGUCGAUCGCUUAAAAUUUGCCAUUUCUUCUAGUGUUUACCCACUGAAAGACCACGUGGCUAAUUUGCAUUCCAAACGGAAGCCAUCAUGGCGGCGAUCGAGAAUGAGGCUGUAUUCUGAUCAAGAGAUAAUUCAGAGUUAUGCUGCCAAAAAAAUGCUGAUUUUCUGAACUAACGUUUUAUAUUGUCUUUUAUCAGCUUCGACAACAGACACUUUCAUGUAUGUUAGACAGAAAGACAGGCAGGAAGACAAAUAUAGACAAAUUAGCAUAUUAAUAAAUCCACUUCGGCUGGCAGUAGCCAGUACAUAUGAUAUCUGUAUAUGAAUAAAUGCCUAUAUUGGUACCGCAUUUGGUGUUAUAAUUAUUGAUUUUUCAGUCGGUUUGUUGUUUUGUUUUCUGUCAUCUUGUUCAGUACUGUAUACAUUUUUACUACGUGCAUGUAUAUUUUCCUUUUGUUGUUGCUGUUGUUUUGUUUAUCAGAUUAGGUGACAAGAAAGCACAGAAAAGGUACAAUCUUCAGUAAUGCUUGAGAGUAUGCAGCCAAGAGCAAAACAUGGUGAGCUACGCACACAGUGUUUGAGCGAUACGAGCAACAGCAACGAAAAGUGACUUUAUCAAGGUUCCUUCACAAAUAUGACGCAAUGUGCAAGUCAAAUCAAUACCAGAAAAAAAAAAAUAAGCUGUCGGCACAUUCUGCAUAUUGUGACUUAACUGUUGAGAAGCACUUUGAUAUUGACGAACACAUCCAAAGUGUGAAUUAAAAUUCUUUCAGGUAUCAUCUUGGAGCUAAAAUUAAAGAGAGAUAAUUAACUUAACAAACAUUGUAGUUUGUUAAUAAACAAUAUCUUUUUUUACAAGCA